rnacentral:rRNA from 1 species
AGAGUUUGAUCAUGGCUCAGAAUCAACGCUGGCGGCGUGCCUAACACAUGCAAGUCGAACGAGAAAGCGGGGGCAACCCCGUGAGUACAGUGGCGAACGGGUGAGUAACACGUGACUAACCUGCCUUCGAGCGGGGGAUAACCCCGGGAAACCGGGGCUAAUACCGCAUAACAUCCCAGGGUGAAACUCCUUGUGAUCAAAUGCGCAAGCAGCUUGAAGAGGGAGUCGCGCCUGAUUAGCUAGUUGGUGAGGUAACGGCUCACCAAGGCGAUGAUCAGUAGCCGGCCCGAGAGGGCGCACGGCCACACUGGAACUGAAACACGGUCCAGACUCCUACGGGAGGCAGCAGUGGGGAAUUUUGCGCAAUGGGGGAAACCCUGACGCAGCAACGCCGCGUGGAGGAUGAAGUCCCUUGGGACGUAAACUCCUUUCGACCGGGACGAAUAAAUGACGGUACCGGUGGAAGAAGCCCCGGCUAACUUCGUGCCAGCAGCCGCGGUAAUACGAGGGGGGCGAGCGUUGUUCGGAAUUAUUGGGCGUAAAGGGCGCGUAGGCGGUGCGGUAAGUCACCUGUGAAACCCCCGGGCUCAACUCGGGGCCUGCAGGCGAAA